GACGAACGCUGGCGGCGUGCUUAACACAUGCAAGUCGAACGGGAACCUUUAUUUCGGUAAAGGAGAGAGUGGCAAACGGGUGAGUAACACGUAGGCAACCUGCCGACAGGAUGGGGACAACAUUCCGAAAGGAAUGCUAAUACCGAAUGGAGUCCGAGGAUGGCAUCAUCCUUGGAUCAAAGAUGGCCUCUUAACAAUGCUAUCGCCUGUCGAUGGGCCUGCGUCUGAUUAGCCAGUUGGCGGGGUAACGGCCCACCAAAGCGACGAUCAGUAGCCGGUCUGAGAGGAUGAACGGCCACAUUGGGACUGAGACACGGCCCAGACUCCUACGGGAGGCAGCAGUGGGGAAUCUUCCACAAUGGGCGAAAGCCUGAUGGAGCAACGCCGCGUGAGUGAAGAAGGUCUUCGGAUCGUAAAGCUCUGUUGCACGGGACGAAAAACUGGGUUUGAAAACA
rnacentral:rRNA from 1 species